rnacentral:tRNA from 1 species
UAUGUUAAAAGAAACUUUUCUACCUAAACUUCUUCAAAGUUAUGCUCUAAUUAAGCUAUUUAAAAU